rnacentral:rRNA from 1 species
UACGUAGGGGGCAAGCGUUGUCCGGAAUCAUUGGGCGUAAAGAGCGUGUAGGCGGCCAGAAAAGUCCGCUGUGAAAACUCGAGGCUCAACUUCGAGCUGUCGGUGGAAACUUUCUGGCUAGAGUCCGGAAGAGGAGAAUGGAAUUCCUGGUGUAGCGGUGAAAUGCGCAGAUAUCAGGAGGAACACCGGUGGCGAAGGCGGGUCUCUGGGCAACAACUGACGCUGAGGAGCGAAAGCGUGGGGAGCGAACAGG